GACGAACGCUGGCGGCGUGCUUAACACAUGCAAGUCGAACGGAAAGGCCCAGCUUGCUGGGUACUCGAGUGGCGAACGGGUGAGUAACACGUGGGUGAUCUGCCCCGCACUCUGGGAUAAGCCUGGGAAACUGGGUCUAAUACCGGAUAUGAUCAACUGUCGCAUGGUGGUUGGUGGAAAGCUUUUGCGGUGUGGGAUGGGCCCGCGGCCUAUCAGCUUGUUGGUGGGGUAAUGGCCUACCAAGGCGACGACGGGUAGCCGACCUGAGAGGGUGAUCGGCCACACUGGGACUGAGACACGGCCCAGACUCCUACGGGAGGCAGCAGUGGGGAAUAUUGCACAAUGGGCGCAAGCCUGAUGCAGCGACGCCGCGUGAGGGAUGACGGCCUUCGGGUUGUAAACCUCUUUCACCAGGGACGAAGCGUGAGUGACGGUACCUGGAGAAGAAGCACCGGCCAACUACGUGCCAGCAGCCGCGGUAA
rnacentral:rRNA from 1 species